UACGUAGGUGGCGAGCGUUAUCCGGAAUCAUUGGGCGUAAAGAGGGAGCAGGCGGCCGCAAGGGUCUGUGGUGAAAGACCGAAGCUAAACUUCGGUAAGCCAUGGAAACCGGGCGGCUAGAGUGCGGAAGAGGAUCGUGGAAUUCCAUGUGUAGCGGUGAAAUGCGUAGAUAUAUGGAGGAACACCAGUGGCGAAGGCGACGGUCUAGGCCGCAACUGACGCUCAUUCCCGAAAGCGUGGGGAGCAAAUAGG
rnacentral:rRNA from 1 species